GGAAGCUGCGGGUUCGAGCCCCGUCAGUCCCG
rnacentral:tRNA from 1 species